GCCCCUAUAGCUCAGUGGUAGAGCAACGGACUUUUAAUCCGCUGAUGAUGGUUCGAUUCCAUCUGGGGGCA
rnacentral:tRNA from 1 species